GUAAAUUGCUACACCUACGUCAGCAGCAGGUAUUCUUCAGUGAAUGAAUUCAGGUAAAUAGCUAUAAAUGCUGCAUCAAGUUACACCAACAAUGAAAAGAUGAAAAUGAAGAUGCUCAAAAUGAAAAUAAAGGCAUUGGAGGAAGAGAGGGACUUCCUCCGAACAACUAUUACCCAGCUGACUGGACAAAGAACUUCUUCAGGACCAAGUCCUAGCUCAUCUGUGGGUAAGUUUUUCUACGUUGUUUAAACCUUCAAUAUUUAAGAUAUUAUAACACUUAACUGUUUCUGCGGUUUUACCAGUGCUGUAUUUGAUCAAAAAGUCGGUAGCUGCCUCUAUUAAUGAUUUAACUCUCAAUUUCUAUUUCAGGUGACAACUUUGCCAAGCUUGACGAUCAGUGGGAUGACAGCUCUGAUUCUUCGAGCUCUGAUAGCUCUUCAUCCACAGACAGCGAAAUAGAAAAGAAAAAGAAGAACAAGGAGAAGAAAAAGAACAAAAAUAAGAAGGAAAAAAAGGAAACUAAAAAAGGGAGAGCAAAGACCCCAGAAGAUACAAGAUGGUCCUAGCAGCAUACAAAAGGAAGGGAAGUAUGGCUGCUGCAUUCCAAACCGUGGGUGUUGACAGAAACACCGUGGCCAUGAGUUGUCACCUGGCUGUUUGUUGUCUUGCUAUCCAUCUGAGUUCAUAUACAAUCUAUCUUGCCCACAUACAUUGGAUUUUACACACCUGAAACAUGUUUUUAAUUUUGGGAAUAUAAAUUGAAUGUAUAUUCAAAUUUUUUCUGUACUUUUUUUUCUGUAUAUUAGUUUGUAAAUAUCCUAAGAGACUAGUUUCAUAAUAUUUUUUAUGUAAUUAAAUGUAUUUGUGGUUCAGUGGUAUAGGUCUUUACAUAAUUGUAAAAAUCCAUGAAAGACGUUCUUCAGAGGUAAAUGAAGAGGCCUCACUUGUGGAAUAACCCCCAUACGUGUAAUAAUGAACCACAAUUACAUGUAAUUACGUGGUAGUUCCUGUGUAACUAUAGUGCUGUUACUACAUAUAAUGCCACAUUGUUCAAGGCAACAGAUAUACACAUGAUGUACAGUGUAAGCUUUUUUUA